GACGAACGCUGGCGGCGUGCCUAAUACAUGCAAGUAGAACGCUGAAGACUUUAGCUUGCUAAAGUUGGAAGAGUUGCGAACGGGUGAGUAACGCGUAGGUAACCUGCCUACUAGCGGGGGAUAACUAUUGGAAACGAUAGCUAAUACCGCAUAACAGCAUUUAACCCAUGUUAGAUGCUUGAAAGGAGCAAUUGCUUCACUAGUAGAUGGACCUGCGUUGUAUUAGCUAGUUGGUGAGGUAACGGCUCACCAAGGCGACGAUACAUAGCCGACCUGAGAGGGUGAUCGGCCACACUGGGACUGAGACACGGCCCAGACUCCUACGGGAGGCAGCAGUAGGGAAUCUUCGGCAAUGGGGGCAACCCUGACCGAGCAACGCCGCGUGAGUGAAGAAGGUUUUCGGAUCGUAAAGCUCUGUUGUAAGAGAAGAACGUGUGUGAGAGUGGAAAGUUCACACAGUGACGGUA
rnacentral:rRNA from 1 species